GCUAGGGGGCUCUUUAUCUAGGUCAGCGCAGGUAGAUGUUUACCUGUGUACAUGGGACACGCAAUACCCUCACGGAUGCGGAAUUUACAAAAUGGAUGUUUUAGUUGUGAAAGGAGUGUUUCCAUCUACACCACCUUGAGUUGGUGAUUUUACACAGUGUGGCCAAAAUGAAAGGGAUGGUUGAGGGUGUGGCGGGUGGGGUGCUGUGUGUUUUGAUGUUUAUGUCGCGGACUUAUGGCGCGGACUACUGUUAUGUACAAGCUCCGUCAUGGACACCUAGAACAGCUCCAUCAUCGACAUCCAACACAUCCCGGGUGAGACUGUCCCUCUUCACCAGCCUGAGGGAGCGCCAUGAGGGUGGGUGUGGCGCCAUAUCACGGGGGGCUCUCCAGAUGUACGUGGCAGUCGGCUGGGUCAUCGACAAACUGAACAAGGGAUUUAUUCCUGGCAUCCAGUUUGACGUGAAGUUGUACGACGACUGUCAGAACCCGUUGUAUGUGGUCAGGAACGCUCUUGAUGUGCUCAGUCCGUCCCUCACAGGAAUCACUAACUGUACCCAGAACGAUUCUUCCAUCCACCUCGGAAUCAUUGGUCCCUCCAGAAGUGCGACGGCGCUAGAGGCAGCGAAGAUUCUGAGUGACUCCGGGAUACCAAUGAUCAGUCCGUCCGCAACAGCAGCUGAUCUCAGUCUCAACUACACCAACUUCUACCGCACAGCACUACCGGACACAGUGCAAAUCAGACCCAUGUUGGACAUUCUGAAGAGGUUGGACUGGACGUACGUAGUGGUGGUCCAUAGUGGCGACAUCUAUGGCCGUGCAGCGGCCGCCAUGCUGAAGGUUGAGGGAAGAAAGAAUGGGAUUUGUUUCACGAAGUCUGUGGAGGUUCCUAGCAUUGUGGACCGGUCGGAUCUGUUCACCGAGUUGCGGGAAGUGAAGGAGGCAACAGAGGACAAGCAUCUGGCAGUGGUGUACUUCGGCUCGCGAGACGUGGCUAAGGAUAUCAUGAAGUACUACGCAGACUCCACGUUGACAGGUUUCUACUGGCUGAUGUCUGACUCUGUAGGAAGAGUGUAUGAUAUUUUCAAGGGCAGUGAUAGAGUGGCGAUAGGAACGUUAACCCUGUCGCCAUCGCCAGUUGCGUUUGAAGAGUUAAACGUCUUCUGGUCCAGUAUUAAAGAUUCCACUCCCUUGUUCAUGGAGUACGGGCGCCAAGCCAACAGUGACGAGUUAUUUGCGACCCAGUCCGACUACGUGGCGCCCACUGUUGACGCUACAUACGCAUAUGCCGUUGCUUUGAAGAACGCCAUAUCCGAUCUGUGUGUCAGCCCCGCUGAGCAUCUGUGUGUACAAAAACUCAGGGACAAUCAGCUUGCACGCUACGUGAAGAACGUUAAUGUCAACUUCACAGCCUUGGGGGACUCGUUUGUCCCGCCCGAGUAUGUGGCCCAGCGACGUCACUUCUCUUUCAAAAACGACUCAGGCGACGUCGUCCGCGGGCCCGAGACUGUUCUGUAUUACGUCAAUGCUGUAACAGCGGGCAAUCAGUUUGCAAGCGUCGGACACUAUUCUUCCAGCGGUUUGGAAUUUAACGUCACAUCUAUUGUAAUGAAAGACGGAGAUAGUGUUAUGACAGGCACCUCUCUGCCGAGAUCCACCUGCAAGGGUUACUGCAAGGAAUGUGUGGAGUUUGGCAACAUACCAAUGGUCUUUGUCAAGGGAGACAUCUAUUUGGUGGGAAUAUUUUCCAUUCACUCUUCAGACCCUGUUAACCCCUUCGAGUGCAACCAAUUCCGGGGUGUCUCCAGUGAUACCAUUGCUCUUGAAGCGUUUCUGUAUUCUGUUAAAGAGAUGGGCAAACAAACAGGGCUUAACUUUGGUGCCGUUGCCUUUGACGACUGCUACAGUUCCGUCCGACUGACCAGCAUUAUAUCCGAGUAUUUCUCCUCCAUUGAAAGACCGUCAAAGAUCUUUGGGCACCUGGUCCCUCUCAACAAGACGGUGGCAGUGAUUGGCUCCCUGUCCAGUGACUCCACCAUACCUCUGGCUAGAUUCUUCAAUGGCCUCAACAUCCCUGUCCUGUCCUAUGCAGCCUCCAGCCCUGAUCUGGAUGACAGAGUCAACUUCCCCAGCUUCCUGCGGACGGUCCCUAGUGAUGUCCAGCAGGCAAAGGCCAUGGUCCAGGUCAUCACGGACAUGGGCUGGGAGUAUGUCAGCUUGCUGUACGUCAGCAACAACUACGGCACAAAGGGAAUGCAAGCUUUCCAAAAUUACGCCCUCGCGGCGGGGAUAUGCGUCUCUCAACCGAAGAAUAUCAGUGAGAGUUCUAGCAGCGGGGUGGAUCGGGAACUUUUGGACGUGUUAGAUGAACUCUUAUUAGAAAAUGCCAAGGUUGUUGUGUUCUUUGGUAUUGACACUCGUUUCAAAGACUUCAUGAAGGCGGUCAAUGACAGAGAACAAUACGGAAAAUUUGUUGUCGUUGCCAGCGAAGACUGGGGAAACAAACAAAGUAUUCUGGCAAGUGGCGAGAGGGCCACGCGCGGAGCGAUCACGCUGAAGAUUGAGCAGAUGCUUGAACCCCCUUUUCCUGGCUUCUCCGCGUCUCUGCUGUCCAAAACCCCCGGGAACAACCUCAUCAACCCCUGGUUCCCGGAGUUUUGGCAGAGCAAGUUCAGCUGCAACAUCCGCGGUGGCUUCAACAACAUCAACCAAGAUGAGUGUUCCGAAAGUCUGAGUCUGACAAGUGAAAAUAUGAAAAAUCACCUCAACAACCAGCGCGUGAAGCACGUGCAGUAUGCCACCUAUGCGGCGGGGAAGGGUGUGAGCGAGGUCAAGGGCAAGCUGUGCAUGGACUAUGGGGAUGUGUUUCCAUGUCGCUUCUACUACGACUCGCAAUACAGCAGCAGUGUUUGGGAGACGAUCAGAGAAGUAACAAAUCCACAGUCACCUUUGCAGCCGUUGUUUGACGAAGAUGGGAACGGCGCCAUCGGCUUCACGAUCUACAACGUACAAGUUGAUUCCAGUGGACAGACAGGCAGCGGGCAUACAUAUGUCGAGGUCGGUACCUAUGGAGCGAGUGGGCUGCAACUGGACAAAGAAAAGAUCACGUUCUAUGACCACCUGGGUUACCCGACGGAGGUCAGCGCCAAAUGCGGGACUGGGAGUAGGUGCUCAGCGUGUGUGCGACAAACUACUUCCGCGCCAACGCUGGUGACGUCAUCACCAACUGGUCCGGACGUCAGUUUUAGGGUGGCGGACAUAAUCAUCAUCACCAUUUGUGCCUUGUUUCUGAUCCUCUUUCUGAUAGCCCUGCUGAUUGCUUACAGGUAUCUCAGGAUCAAGGUCAACGGCCUGAGCAAGGAUAUACAGAGAUACGCUGCAGGCAACAACGAACACAUAUACCAGACGGUGUCCGAGAGGAGAGUGUACCAGAACCCGCCCACAAGUCCACAACGCCGCACCCCAACAACCCCCAACCACAUCUACUUCGUCAAUGGCAGCCAUGACAGUUUAAACGAAGCUGCAGGUCACGUGAAUCAAGCUUUCCGAACUGACGACACGUUAUCCCAGCGGAAUGUUAGCGGAGGAACCACCGCUAGCGCUAGCGCCACGAACACCUCGACCCAGUCACGGCAGACUGAAGCCCCAGAUCCACGUGGGAGGAGCACCUCGCUGUCCCCAUCUCACUCCGGACAGGUGGUCAUGACCGACAUCCCAAACAGAGCCCUGCCAGGCGGGAUACUACCGGAAGUGCCUGCUAACGGACAUGUCCCGAAUGGAGGUGUCACAUCACCGGGAUUCCAACAAAGACCUUCAACUUUGCAUUUUCAUCAGAAUCCCAGAUUUACUGAUAUUCAAGGGAUGACUGAUAAUGGACAUACGUCGAAUUUGCUUGCACACAGUAUGAGUCCAGUUCUGAAUCGUCCAGACUUACACCAUUUGCCUGAAACCUACAUGGGCUCGCCUCUGUCCUCGGUGUCUCCAGUGACUGACUCGCCCGUUUCCCAGGGGGUGCUCAGUCAUCACAGCUCGCCUGCAAUGGCUGCCAACCCAUCCAUGUUGCAAACUCUUGCCAGCCAGCAGGCUGUUCUUGAACAGCAGGCAGCGCUCACCGCUCUUGAAGUGCAGAGACUACACCUCCUUCAGCAACAAAGUGCUCAGCAUCCCUCCAACCCCUACAUCCCGCUGUCAGCCACCGAGACACGGCCUCAUCUGUCACCCCUGCGAGACCCCCCAUAUCCCAGUCAGGAUGAGCUUCCCAUGGACAGACCCAGGCCGAGAACCAACCCCCAACACAUGGCCCCACUCUCCAGCAGGGUGUCAUCGCAUCACGGCAGCAUAGACUCCCUGAGAUCCAGCGGACGAUCUCGCCACCAAGUCUCGCCAACAUACAGCCCUGAUGGCAAGAACAUCCACAUGCAACCGCUUGCACAUGACUCGAGAAUAUCCCGAGUCUGACUGGUCAAAUACUGUAAAAAGGAUCUGUUCUCGGAAGAUUAGCGGAUCUAGUUGUGAAUGCAUUGUGUAUAGAAAUAUAACCCUGAAAUUACCGCGACAUACUUCCUAAGAAUAUUGACGGCUUCAUCUUACCGUGUGAUGACAGCUCAUUUAACUCAACGGCUUAUGCCGUAAGAUGCUCUUAAUACUCAUCAUUGAGUCUGACGUGACGACAAGUGACAUCAUCCGACGAGGUAUAGUGUAUUUAAGAAACCACAGCAUUGUCGUCAUCCUCCAUAUUGACAUUCCGAACUCGCCGCGUCAAACAAAUAUUGUACAUUGCAAAUAGUUUUAUAAGUGCUUUAUUUUUUCUUUGCAUCAUGAUAUAUGGUAGGCAUAGCUAAAGGCUCCAUGCCCGCAGUACUGCGCUGGAAUCUGACUCGUGAGGUUUAUGUGUUUUAUCUAAUCCUAUGUUGUGAUAUUUUUUCUGUUAUCUAUAUUUUAUAUAGCGUUUACUUCCAUGUCAUACUUAUACUCAAGCAAUUGUUUCUGUUUGUUUUUGUUUACUGUUUAUUGUUUAUUAAUUCUUCAUGCGUGUGUUGGAGAGUCGGUUCAAUGUCUGAGCAGAGGAACGCGACAGCAAGAAGCUCAAGGGUGUGGGAAUUCAUAACAUUCACAUGAAGCAAUAGUACAUCGGUACAUCACCUGUUAGGUAUGCUGUGUCAUCAUAACUUCCCUUUGAUCUAUGUUGUGUCAUCAUUGUAUCACUAUUAGGUGUGUUGUGACAUCACAUCUCUAUUUGAUGUAUUGUGACAUCAUCACAUCACUAUUAGGUGUGUUGUGACAUCAUCACAUCACUAUUAGGUGUGUUGUUACAUCAUCACAUCACUAUUAGGUGUGUUGUGACAUCAUCACAUCCCUUUUAGGUGUGUUGAGACGUCAUCACAUCACUAUUAGGUAUGUUGGUUCAUACUUCCCUUGCAUAAUAAAAGACGGCACCAUGACAAAAUAAUCCGUUAAGACCUAUUUACUCUGGAAAAUGACAUGGAAGAUUGUUUCCCUGUAUACAGUGUUCAGGUGUGGAUCUCGCAUAACUCUGGCCUUUGUUCGACGGCCAUCGGAUUAGCUCAUGAAUUAUGCCAAAUACGAAUAUUGAUUUGUUGAUUGACAUGUGUACAUUGUAUAUCUUAUCACUAAUCUGACAUAUAUGUGACUUAUGACCAGCCUUGUAUUUACGUGUGCCUAUAAAAAAUGAACAAUGUGGAAUUGCCAUCUACAUAUUGUAUAAAAUACGUCCAGUCUGACGUUGACGAGUGCCCAUUGUAUAACUAACAUACGAUCUGUCCAACACCAUCGUGUGCCCCUCGUAUAGCGUGAUCAGCGUAACGUUAACGUAUUCAGGUUUGAAAAACACUAGUAUUAAAUACGGUAUCUUCAAAGGGGAAUUAUUUAGCUAUCUGUAUAGCAACACCCUGUCGACGAGGUAAUAUAUAAUGACACUUAAUGUUAUAUACCGUAUUCGACCUAAUAGGCGACCAUUAGAAAUAGAGGGCUCUUAUUAGAAUAUAAUGUUUUGUAAAAAAAAGUUGAAAGAUCGUCAAUUUUGUGGUAUAUGCUGACAGCCUGAAAUGAUACAAAAGAAAAGUCUAUGCGUAUUAUACACGACACAUAUAUUUUUCCAGAAUUUAAUUGUCCAUAAUUAAGGAAGAACAUAACACACGAGUACGUAUUAUACGCGAAUAAAUACGUAUUGUGUACAUUAAUCAACCGGAAUGGGUGCUAAUUAGGAUUGUUCACUAGCCAAUAUAUUAGCAAAUAUCGCUGUGGGCGCUUAUUAGAGUGGGGCGCUUAUUACGUCGAAUACGGUAUUUCAGUACGUGUGCUGCUCCCUUGCAGGUCCAUGUGUUUGUUGGUGAGGGACACGACCACACCGAUACAAGAAGCAUGACCAUGACAAUACUCGCCACAGUGUCUUAUGUGACCAUAUCAAACAUGUUGCGAGUGACGUCACGUCGACAGCACACGUCAAACUAUGUGACAUUGUGACGGUGCAUAUGUGACCAUAUCAAACAUGUUGAGUGACGUCACGAGGACUACACGUCACACUAUGGGAAUAUGUGACGGUGCAUAUGUGACCAUAUCAAACAUGUUGCGAGUGACGCCACGUAGACAGUACACGUCAAACUAUGUGACAUUGUGACGGUGCAUAUGUGACCAUAUCAAACAUGUUGAGUGACGUCACGAGGACUACACGUCACACUAUGGGAAUAUGUGACGGUGCCUAUGUGACCAUAUCAAACAUGUUGCGAGUGACGUCACGUAGACAGUACACGUCAAACUAUGUGACAUUGUGACGGUGCAUAUGUGACCAUAUCAAACAUGUUGCGAGUGACGUCAUGUAGACAGUACACGUCAAACUACUAGUAUGUGACAUUGUGACGGUGCAUAUGUGACCAUAUCAAACAUGUUGAGUGACGUCACCAGGACUACACGUCACACUAUGGGAAUAUGGGACGGUGCAUAUGUGACCAUAUCAAACAUGUUGCGAGUGACGUCACGUAGACAGUACACGUCAAACUAUGUGACAUUGUGACGGUGCAUAUGUGACCAUAUCAACUAUCGACUACACGUCACACUAUGGGAAUAUCUGACAUUGUGUUCGUAAAUUUAUAUGUCAUAUUGUGUUCGUGAAUAUACCGGCAUAUCACACAUGUUGACACAAAUGACUCUGUCAAUGAACACCAAAUGUACUACACGUUCGCAGAUGUAUAAAUAGACAUAAUACAUUCCAGAGCUCAGAGGUUUUGUAUGGAGAUUUAAGAUAUUUUCAAAUGUCACCGUGUUGAAUAAAAUUCUUAUAUUAUAUUGAG
rnacentral:misc_RNA from 1 species